AUGGUGGUGCCGGCGCGGCGCGUGAAGACGGAGUACAUGAAGCGCUUCAAGGAGCCCAAGUGGGAGUCGUGCGGCGCCUGCUACCUGGAGCUGCUGCGCUACCGCCUCAGCCGCCGCCUCCUGGAGCAGGCGCACCGGCCCUGGCUGUGGGACGGCUGGGAGCAGGACAGCGGCGGCGGCGGCGGCAGCAGCACCGCCGGGUCCCCCUCGCCGCCGGGCGCCGGCAGCCCCGCGGCCGCGCAGGAGGAGGAAGAGGCGGCGGCGCCAGCGCCGAGCGAGGCGGGACGGGCGACCCCCGAGAAAGAAAGAGAAGAUCAAGAAAAGCAGCAGAGGGAAGAGCAAGAAAAAACUGCAGAACACACUCCUGUAAAGGAAGCAGACAAAACCAGCCGUACAGGACGACGUCCGAGUCGAAGUGCCUUGUCCAGUCGUAAUGAUCGAAGAUCAGCCAAAAGUCCUCAAAAGACAGAUGCACCAAAGGAGAAUAAACAUCCAUUUGCUCUGUAUGGGUGGGGAGAAAGACAGACAGAUACUGGAAGCCAGAAAACUCACAAUGUCUGUGCUUCUGCUUCAGCGAAUGAAAUUCAUGAAUCUGCUCUACGAGCAAAGAACAGGAGACAAGUGGAGAAAAGGAAGCUUUCUCAGAGGCGAGUGCGAUCAGCAGAAGCAGAGAAAGCUUGGCGAAUAAAGCCCUCCCCACCAGAUAACCCCUGGAUGACAGAGUAUAUGAGAUGCUACUCAGCAAGAGCUCGGUGAAUUUGGAUUCCCUUAGGCAUCUUCGAAAGAAGUUACGCAUAUCAGGACACUGCUUGUGUUUUACAGACUGGACACCUUCUCACAGGAAGCACACUUGCACUUCUGCAGCAGCAACCUGCACUAGUCUUAGCUUCAUUCCACAAUCUCAGUGAGUAAGCAGGACUCUAGAAUUACUACUGCAACACAGUUACAUGCUUAGGGGAAAGUUUGAUUGUGUUACUGAAAGAAUGUAAUCAUGCAAAGGGACCAGGCACUGCUGCCUCCUAGUGUUAAUUACAUCACUAAAGGUUUCAUUACUCUCAAUUUUAAUCUUACUAAGAUGUCCUAGAAUCCAUGAAAUCUGAUUUUUACCUGCCUUUUAAGCAUAAAGCUAUAAAAAUACAGACAACUCUUCAGGCUACCUACUAGAGAUCUUACAGCUUUUAAAUCUGGGAAUGCAAAGUAUGAUUGUUUUAUACACAGCAAAAUUACUGUAUUCUAACUUUUAAGUAAACCACAGGCUAGAACUUCCUAAAACUUUAGAACAGUGCCCAAAACUGAGGCAAACUAUUCUGGAGGAUGCCUUUAUUCCAUGUGAAAUUCUUUUAAUCUGCUGGGUUUUCCUCCUUAAAUAGCUGCUGUAAAUAUGCUUAAGUUGCUUCUGAUGCUGUUUCAGUUCAGAAAUCCACCCUAGCUUUGAACAACAGUAUCAAAGCACUAACUCGGUAGUGUUUAAAACAGCCUUAUUCAAUAAAAACUCUGCCUGUUCCUGUUGCCCACAGGCUUUGUAGGCUUUCUGUAACUACAGCAGAUGGACUGUGCCCUCAGCGCAUUUUGUCACAUUGAACAGUUUCCUUGAUGGUGUAGGGCAGGACUCGUCUUGCCGUGCUUUCAAAGACAGCUUCUACAGUUCUCUCUUCCCACUAAGAAUGGAGGAGCCAAGAUGACUCUGUGCCUGCCUUAAGUACCCAUUUUUGGCUAAGAUGGAUCUCCCAUUAGAUGUUGGUCUUUCCAAUAAUUAUAGAAGGCUUAGAUGUCUUCUGCCUUGGAUACUGGGUACCAAACUUAAAACAUCUCAAACAGGCUUGUUCAGGUGUUCUACAGAGCAUGAGAAUCUUCAACGGCAUCCAGGUUGCUGUGUACUGAGGAAAUGAUCUAGUUCUUACCCUUGUCUGGUCAGGAGCUGUUCCUCGCCAAAACAAUUUGCUGGAAGACAGUAGUGAUGCUAAUCAGGUCAUGUCAGUCACUGUCAUGCUUUUUCAAAUGGUCUGUAGCUAAAAAUAAUCCUGGGUGUGAUGUUGGUACCAUCUUGGUUUAAGUAAUAAUGCCUGAAGUGAGGGGUAAAUUAUUCUGCAAAUCAGGUAGCCUUCCUGCAUUUGGGCAUUAUUUGACUAAAAAAAGGCUAGUAGGUUUGCUUAGACUAUGUGAAAUAGUUCUGAUUGCUGCAAGUUGUAUAUGCAAAAUAUUUGGCAUGUGCCAGGCUGAAGUCUGGAAAACCAUUAUUUUAGUGUUUUGAUGUUAAAAAAAUGAAAAGCCAAUUGACUUGGAAAGCAGAACUUUUCAAGUGUGAAAGCUUUAACUAUAUUCCAUAGAUUCUUACAGGAGGUGGCUGUUUUGCAUCAAAUUGGACUCACUAAAAAAUGGAAAACCUAGUGAAUGUCACCCUAUCAAUUAAGGAAGUUGUGAACUUUGUCUUGCAUGGACUCUUGAAUUCAGCCAAGUGAUGAACACUUCUCACUCCUGUUUUAGAAGUAAAACUUUGUAAGAACACAGUAAAUACUCAGUUGUCCAAAGUCUUCAUUAAAAUAACUGUUUAUUCUUUUUUGUUUCUGAAAGUACUUAGCUAAAUGAAACAAGACUUUUACAAUGUGUAAUGCUGCAAUUUAACUAUAGUGUUGUGAAGACUUAGUGUUUACAAUGUAAAAUGUUACAAUGAAAACUGCAUAAGAAUGUCCCUGUAAAAUACACUAGCUUGCCUGUUCAGUCACUGCUGUCACAUCUUUGCAACUAUGAAUUACAGACUUUUUCACUGGAAGCUGAGAUAGUUGAGCUGAUAGCUAAACUUAGAGCCAAACUUAAUGAAACUGAGGGGCAGACCUGAAUUUUUGGUAAGAAUUUUAGCCAGGUAGCAAAUGUACAUUUUAAUCAAAUUUUUAAUGUGUAGGGCAGUGUAUCUGUUCUCUUUUUUUUUUUUUUUUAAUGGUAUAAUGCAGUGCCACUGAACUAUAAAGGCCUCUGACUUUUUUUUUUACUGUGAUAGGGACCAAAAGCUAGCAAUCUGAGGGCCUUAUGUGGGUAACCUGGAUGUUCCAGUUUAUUUUCCAGCUCAGUUAGUGCACUCAGCAGCAAAGCCAUAUAUGGAGCCUGACUCAACACCUUGACAGUAGCCCCUAUAAAAUUAGGGGUACAAGUGAAUGGGAAGCUGCCUCAGCUAUUGUUAGCACUGAAUUCACUUUAAAAACAAUAGGGAAAUACCAUCUAAGCUUGAAGCAAUAUGUGUUUUUUAAAGUUUUUAAACAGUAUUUGUUUUUAAUGCUUCUAUAUUGUCUAUAUUUAAUAGUGUAGUGUCAACUUGUAUAUGUGAAUAAAAUGA